rnacentral:rRNA from 1 species
GUCUACAGCUAUGCUAUCCUGAACAAGCUUGAUCCCAGCUGAUCUUGGAAGCUAAGCAGGGUUGGGCCUGGUUAGUACUUGAUAUGGGAGACCACCUAGGAAGACCAGGUGCUGUAGGCG